UACGUAGGGGGCGAGCGUUGUCCGGAAUUAUUGGGCGUAAAGAGCGUGUAGGCGGCCCGGUAAGUCCGCUGUGAAAGUCCAGGGCUCAACCCUGGGAUGCCGGUGGAUACUGUCGGGCUCGAGUCCGGAAGAGGCGAGUGGAAUUCCUGGUGUAGCGGUGAAAUGCGCAGAUAUCAGGAGGAACACCAAUGGCGAAGGCAGCUCGCUGGGACGUGACUGACGCUGAGACGCGAAAGCGUGGGGAGCAAACAGG
rnacentral:rRNA from 1 species